GCGGCAUUCCGAGUCCGGCGGAAGAAGUUGGCCAGCCCCACCCCCCAAGGCUAUAGCCCACCCGUUUUUGUGGCCUUUUCCGCUGGACGAACUUGGCGCCCCGGCCUUCCGGUUGUUAUUUUUGGGCGCGGCUUUGCCCGCGGCCUAUUUUUGGCACACGGAGGCCCCUCGCAAAGUCUCGCGGCAUUCCGAGUCCGGCGGACGAAGUUGGCCUUCCCCACCCCCCAAGACUAUAGCCCACCCGUUUUUGUGGCCUUUUUCCGCUGGACGAACUGGGCGCCCCGGCCUUCGGGCGGUUAUUUUUGGGCGCGGCAUUGCCCGCGGCCUAUUUUUUGCCCACGGAGACCCCUCGCAAAUUCUCACGGCAUUGCGAGUCCGGUGGACGAAGUGGGCCAGCACCACCCCCCAGGGCUAUAGCCCACCCGUUUUUGUGGCCUUUUUCCGCUGGACGAACUUGGCGCCCCGGCCUUCGGGCUGUUAUUUUUGGGCACGGCUUUACCCGCGGCCUAUUUUUGGUACACGGAGGCCCCUCGCAAAGUCUCGCUGCAUUCCGAGUCCGGCGGACGAAGUCGGCCUGCGCCACCCCCCAACGCUAUAGCCCACCCGUUUUUGUGGCCUUUUUCCGCUGGACGAACUUGGCGCCUCGGCCUUCUGGCGGUUAUUUUUGGGUGCGGCUUUGCCCGCGGCCUAUUUUUGGCACACGGAGGCCUCUUGCAAAGUCUCGCGGCAUUCCGAGUCCGGCGGACGAAGUUGGCCAGCCCCACCCCCAAAGGCUAUAGCCCACCCGUUUUUGUGGUCUUUUUCCGCUGG
rnacentral:lncRNA from 1 species